GGCCGAAAGGCGUAGUCGAUGGAUAGCAGGUUAAUAUUCCUGCCCUCUCAUGUGCGGUUGAUCCGGCGUGACGGAUCGUGAAGUUCUGUGGGACAGUGAAGCGUCCAGGCCGUAUGGCCGUUGCAGGGUGGAACGGUUCCAAGAAAAGCCGUCCGGUGACAAUCAUGAGACCCGUACUAAAACUGACACAGGUAGGUGUGGCGAAAAGCCUCAGGCGCUCGAGAAAACGGUUGGGAAGGAACUAGGCAAAUUGACCCCGUACGUUCGCAAGAAGGGGGCCCUUCGGGGCGCAGAGA
rnacentral:rRNA from 1 species